rnacentral:rRNA from 1 species
UACGGGGGGGGCAAGCGUUGUUCGGAAUUACUGGGCGUAAAGGGCGCGUAGGCGGCCUGCUAAGUCACACGUGAAAUCCCUCGGCUCAACCGGGGAACUGCGUGUGAUACUGGCGGGCUUGAAUUCGGGAGAGGGAUGUGGAAUUCCAGGUGUAGCGGUGAAAUGCGUAGAUAGUCUGGAGGAACACCGGUGGCGAAGGCGGCAUCCUGGAGCCGAGAUUGACGCUGAGGCGCGAAAGCUAGGGGAGCAAACGGG